rnacentral:tRNA from 1 species
GAAAUGUAAUUCAGCGGUUAGAAUGCGUGACUUAUAAUCGCGUCGUCGCAGGUUCAAAUCCUGCCGUUUCC